CAUAAUGUGUAUGUAUUAUUAGUAAUUACCUUGCCUAAAAUGAAAUUUAGUAGCAAGUUUGUGUUACAUGCAUUUUAAGUAUUGUAUUGAAGGGUAUAGGACUGCUGUAAUAUAUUACUGUCAAUGUAAACUUUGCAAAUUUGUAGAUUUAUUAACUUAUUCUAGUGCCCAAAGGACUAGGAUGCCGAGGCAUGCAUAUUUUAUUGACUAUUAAGUUCAGCUCAUCAUAUGCUGUGGAAAUAUAUUAAUGUGUUUCCACUGUGGAAAUGUAACUCAUGGUUCAUGCUCAAUAUCGUUUCAGGUUCGAGAUAUUUUCUAACUUUUUUGAUGAAUUUGAUUCCAUUACCCCUAAAAGAUGACAUGACAACACUAGAGUAAUUGAUCGAGUUGUCAACCAAGUUAGUAUCUUUUUGCUUGCUGCAUUUUAUUAUUUUGCCUUAACUUUUGAUGUCUUUCUCAUUGUUAUUUUGCUUUCAAACAAUUCCUAACUGAAUUAGAUGGUUUUGAAGUUUUGAUCGGUGUAUUUGUGUUUGUUGCAACAAGGUUAGUUCUCAUGGAAUCCUAUUGUAUUAUUUUGAUAGUAUCUAUCCUUAAUCUUCGGUUAAUCCCCACAAUUUUGAGUUUGGUUCGUUAUUAUCUUCACGUGAUCAAUUUUGACAUGAGAUGCAUACCCAAAUAAGAUAGCUUUUCAAGUAGCACAAAAUUUUUAAAAGAUAAUACGUUUCUUGAUUACAAGGUUUUCCAUAAAUAUAUGAAUUUCUUAUUUCAUGGUUUUCCUUAUGAGUUGCAUGGCUUUAAAAUUGACUUAAAUUCUUCUCAUAAGCAGUAGACCAGAUCUGCUUGAUGCUGUAUUGCUGAGACCAGGUAGGCUUGAUCGCCUCCUUUUUUGUUUCAUCAUAGAAACCGAAUGUAUAAAACUCUUCUUCAGGUCUUGCUUCCUAGAAUUACAUGAUUUUAACCACAUAUAUUAGCUUUGUUACCAGUAUUAAGUGGUCAGUGUUGGAUUUUGAUGUACAUCUGUCAUUGAUUUACUCAAAAUUUUAAAAAUUUUCAUAUAUUUGGAGGAACAACGUGUAUAUUUGUGUCCAAAUAUGUAUAGAACAUAAAUGAACAGUCCAAGCAACAUAGUAUAGCAUAAUGUGAUUUGCUAUAUAUAUAUCGAACUAGAAACUACCUUGAUUGAAUGUUUUAGUGUUGCUUGCCUUUGUAAUACUUUGUUUUUGCACAUAUAAUGUAGUUUCCAUUGGCCAGUGAUGUUGAUUUGGACGCCAUAGCAUAUAUGAUAGAAGGAUUUAGCGGAGCUGAUCUCCAAGCUCUUCUCUUAGAUGCACAGCUCGCUGCGGUUCAUGAACAUUUGAGCAGCGCGAAUAGCAAUGAGCCUGGCAAAAUGUUGGUCAUAACUGAUACUGUUCUGAAGUCUAUUGCUUCCAAGGCAAGAUAGUCAGUUUUAGAAGCUGAAAAACAGAGACUAUAUAGAAUCUACAGUCAGUUUCUGGAUUCAAAGUGAUCUACCUCCGCAUAGGUAUUUGUCCCUUGCAUACUAAAUUCCCUUAUAUUUGCAGCUUCUCAUGUUAGCCACUCUCUUAACUCAAUAAAAUUGAAAAUUUUCAUGCUGUUGAGGGAUGCAAAAGGCAAGAGGGCAACUCAAGUUCGAGAUAUUUUCUUUAAAGCAGCUGCUUCUACACCUUGCCUCCUCUUUUUUUGAUGAAUUUGAUUCCAUGGAACUUAAAGAAACAAGACUUCUAAUUGGUGGGAAAAGGACAUUGAAUUGGAGGUAUCUUCCGCAUGGCGUAGUUGAAUGGUUGAAUGACAACAACACAAGGAUACAUAUCGCGCAUAAAUGGCAAAACUCGAUGAUGUGCAUAACAAAUUUUCCUUAUAGAUUUCUUUUAAACCUUUUCGUUCACAUUUUCCUGUAACCAAUCCCUUUCUUUACACGAAUCAGAAUAUGUAACAUAGAAUUUGUUUUUUUGUGUUUCUUGUUAUCUCCUUGAUUCAGACAGUAAUGACGAAGAAAAGUAAAAUUUAAGGUUGUUCA